GCAAAGCACACUGAGCCAACUGAGAUAUCUUUUACCAGAUCCUUAAAUUCUUGAUUGGCUGCCAAAUCCCCACAGCGAUGAUCCGUGCACAUUAUCUCCCCUCAUCUUUUGGAAACCAAAACAUUUUUAUUUUCCACAAGUAGUAUGAUGAUCACACAGUUGCAGAAAUGGAGGCGAUAAUAUAAUGGUCCAGACU